GUUUUGCAGUGAGCACAGGACGUGGCUGCCUCCACAUGGGGUAUCUCAUCAUGCACUGUUCACCAGAGGUACCUGAACUGUUGCCCAGGGAUAGCAGGAACAAGUGAAGACCUACAGAAGACCUUUGUACUUCUCAUCUGUCAGCUGAAGACCAGAUGGAAUUGUUUAAGCACUGGACACCUGUGUUUGGUUUGUUGCAGUCCAGUGACACGUUUCACUUGCUCAGAGCUUUUCUCUAGAACAGUCAUGACGAUGUUAAAUCAGUUGGAAGACUUACUGUUCACAGCAGUAUCUGUGCACCACCCACAGCAUUGAACUUCUUUUCUAAUUCUCAUUUAGGUUACAAGAAGCAAAGAAACAUUUUGCAGUGGAGUGAUGCCAGUUUUCACCACCUGGACUUGUGUGUUUAAUAUUAGUUAAACUAAGCCAAUACAGAACUAUAGGUGAGAGAACCUCAUGUCAGUUCGUAGCAAUAUUAUGGACUAUGUUCUUUUUUAAUUCAUUUCCAAGUACAUCAAAGACAAGGAGACAGUUUGAGGCAUGCCUUCUAUGGUCAAAUACUUUCAGUGCUGGAUGAAGAGGGAGUAGUAGAUGCAAUAUUUUGACUUCAGUGAUGUUUUUAUACUGCCUCUGUCAAUAUCUUCAUUUAGAAGAUGCAUCCUGUGAUGACACCAAUUUUCUUCAUGGAAAAAGUUAACCUUGAGGAGUAGUUUAUCUUCUUGUAUACUUUGCAUUCCAGUAACAAGCGUUGUGUAGGAGGAGGAGGACUUCUUUGGCCCAAGCUCUUUCUUACCAUUCUUUUUACCAAGGAAACAUUGUAUGAAGGCAUUGAACAGCCCCAGCUCCUCUUCCUUCUCUACAACACUUCUCAACCACUUUGCUUAAGAAUGAGGUACUGACCCUAGGACUUAAAGAACAAGUCACUUUUCUUUUUCUCCUUCUGCUAUCAUCAGAAUUUUCCAAGGUGAGGUUACUUUCUACUUGAUAAAUAUUUCUUAAUAUUCAAAUAUUAUUGUUGGUACAUGUUAGUUCUCUGCAAAUACUUGCCAUAAUACAGGAAAAGACACAGACACAGAAGGGCAAAUGGAAAAGAGCUGGCUGUAAACUGAGAACUGAAGUCUGUAAAAAGAGUCUUGUUUUACCUUAAUUAUGUAGGUAGAACAUUGUACUGCUUUAUUGCCCUUGUUCCAAGAUUUUGGACCGCAUCUGGUUAGGAGAGCAUUUAGAAAUCUGGAUGACCUCACUGCAGUAAAAUGCUUGAACUUAAAGAGAGAAUCACUAGCUAAAUAAAGUGGUGAACAUUGCUGCUAAUUGAGUUGCAGAGUUGUUAGUUGAAAUUGUCAGAUCUAACCUAGGUAGGAAGUAUUUACAGGAGCAGUGUCAAUGAUUAUUCCCUUUGGCAAGCCCUUUCAGUGCUACUGUUUAGAAACACUUGAAUUUUUCCAUUUUGUUUUUCCCUUUAAAGAUAUUUUGGUUCUGGUCUAAGUUCAGGAUAUUUGGUGGGACAGUGAAUUUAUCAAGAGUAAGUGAAUAUUGUAGUUUCAACUACACAUUUUCACCUAAUCAACUUUCGGUUCACACUUCUUGAAUUUCUUCUUAACCUAUUUACUACUAAAGAUUUUGAAGUGUUCUUUUUGCUUUUCCUCUCAUCUUAGUUAUUCCUCAUGUUUAUGGUGAUGUCAGUAACAUUCCGCUAUGGGCAUCUAUUCCAAUUAAACCUAAGAUCUAAAAAUGGAGAUGCUGCUAAAGUACCUGGGCAAUUAACUCGUUUGGGCUUUUGGAAAUGUAUUGUUGCAACACUUCCAGCCUCCAAAUUCCUUCACUCAAAGCUUGCUCAGAAAAUUUACGUGCUCUCUUGUAGAUAAAGCCCAGAAUUCAGCUUUACUUAGAAACUGCAGUUUGGUUGCCUUUGUAGAAAGCUCCAUAUGGAAAGAGCUUUGAGUGUUUUGAGAACAUGCUUUUACUUGUCACUUGUGUUCCAGUAAAUGUCAGCAUAAAUGAGAUCUUCAUGAUCAAUGUCUGGGCUUUUUUACAACUUUCCUUUUUUUUAUGUAUAAAUGCUUCCUGUUCUGCCUUCUAAUCCUGCCCUGGAGAUGUAUAACUGUUUCUUAUGACUGUUCCUUUUUCACUCUUUUCACUCUCAUCUCAGUCCAAACUCUUUCAGCUGUGGUAAGCGCACUAUAUUUGUAAACUUUUUCCUCUACAAUAAUGUUCUUCCUCACGUAUCUUUGCAUAUGUUGUGCACACUGCUACUCAAAUACAUUGCCAGUUCUGCAGUUUAUUGGUACAUAAAUGGGGUAGUCAUUAUCCACCACUUCAUCAUUUUUGGUAAACGUAUAUGGUUAAAAACAUCCUGAUUCUACCUUUGAUUUUUUUUAAGAUUCUGUUUUGUAAGCAGGAUGAAAAGCAAAAGGGAGACAACAAAAAGCCUGUUUUAUUGACACGAUCCUUUCUUAGCUCUGUGACAGAAGACAUUGUCUUAGAAAGGUAUUUUCCAGUCCAGUCUUAUGUUGAGAUUGAUGUGAAUUUUCUCUGACAUUGGGAAAUAUUUGAAAAAACUGGUGAAUCUACUUUUUUUUUAUAAUGGCAUCUUCUAAUAUCCUCUCAAUCUCAGUUUCUGUUGUUCUUUUAGCCAUUCUUUUCUAAUCCUUUCUUCAUGUACACACACACACACACACACAC